UGGGGUGCGAAUGAGAGCGAACGUGAAUAUUUGGGCGAACGCACCCGGAUAGGAACCAAGACAACAUGGGUCAACUUUAUCAUAAUGUACGUCCGUCCUUUAUCUUAAUUAAAAUCUCUGUGUUGUCACAAUACCUUGAUAUAUCUUUGACUAGGUUUUUACCCAAAUCGUAUGUUUUACUUUUUCUUUCACAGGAAACAUAUUUUUGUCAGGGGCGCGAA
rnacentral:lncRNA from 1 species